GGCGUUAGCAGCUGGGAAGGCCGCGGCCGGAAGCUAAGUCACAGAGCCGCACUCGCGCUUCAGCCCGCAAGAUGGAGCGUUUCCCUCCAGGGAAGCAGCGCCGCACCUAUGCACAGCCUCGACUCGGUGGAUGAUGCAGGACUCGGCCCAUUUCCCUGCCCUCCAGCUUUCUCAAAGUCAGCCCCGCCCCUUAUCUUUCCUCGGCGAGUUUAGUUUCACCCCCGCCAAGUGGGCAGAGCGCCGAACGAUCGAUGCUUUCUUCGGGCCCUGAGAGCCGCCAUUUUUGAGGGCGGGGGAAGAGAAACAAGCAGCGGCGGCAGAGGCUUAAUGGGAUGCUGACUGGGUUUUGCUUCUCGUCCCAGCCCUGUGGGGCCGGGGCAGAAGAACCCAGCAAAGCCCUUCCUCCGGCCGCCUCUCCGGAAUGAGGUCUCAGCACCCGCGUGGGACAGCACCCUUCCUCCUGCCUGAGAGCCCAAGAAGAGGCCGAAACCGAGACCAUGCCUGGGAAGCUGAAGGUGAAAAUCGUGGCUGGGCGCCAUUUGCCAGUGAUGGACCGUGCAAGUGACCUGACUGAUGCCUUCGUGGAGGUAAAAUUUGGUAAUACUACCUUUAAAACAGAUGUGUACCUUAAGUCACUCAACCCUCAGUGGAACUCGGAGUGGUUUAAAUUUGAGGUGGAUGAUGAAGACUUACAAGAUGAACCUUUACAGAUCACAGUUCUUGACCAUGAUACUUACAGUGCAAAUGAUGCCAUUGGUAAAGUGUACAUUGAUAUUGAUCCUUUACUGUAUAGUGAAGCUGCAACAGUCAUCUCAGGAUGGUUUCCAAUUUAUGACACCAUACAUGGUAUCCGUGGGGAAAUCAAUGUAGUUGUCAAAGUAGACCUCUUCAAUGAUUUAAAUCGAUUUAGGCAGUCAUCAUGUGGAGUCAAAUUCUUUUGCACAACAUCUAUUCCAAAGUGCUAUAGAGCUGUGAUAAUUCAUGGAUUUGUAGAAGAACUUGUGGUCAAUGAAGACCCAGAAUAUCAGUGGAUUGAUCGAAUUCGCACACCAAGGGCAUCAAAUGAGGCCAGACAGAGACUCAUUUCGUUAAUGUCAGGUGAACUGCAGAGGAAGAUUGGCUUGAAAGUACUUGAAAUGAGAGGAAAUGCAGUUGUGGGGUACUUACAGUGUUUCGAUCUGGAGGGCGAGUCUGGGUUAGUGGUGAGAGCCAUAGGAACGGCGUGUACUCUGGAUAAAUUAAGUAGCCCAGCAGCAUUCCUUCCUGCAUGUAAUUCCCCAUCCAAAGAAAUGAAGGAGAUUCCCUUCAAUGAAGAUCCCAAUCCCAAUACUCACUCAUCAGGACCCUCAACCCCUCUGAAAAACCAAACCUAUUCCUUUUCACCUUCCAAGUCCUACAGUCGACAGUCCUCUUCUUCUGACACAGAUUUGAGUUUGACACCCAAAACUGGAAUGGGAAGUGGUAGUGCUGGAAAAGAAGGGGGGCCCUUUAAAGCUCUUUUAAGACAACAGACUCAAUCAGCUUUGGAACAAAGGGGAGGAUCGCCUCAUAGGUUCUGUAGAAGGCGGGAAUUUCCAUUUUUCACCUUGACGGCAUUUCCUCCUGGAUUCCUUGUACACGUUGGGGGUGUAGUUAGUGCACGUUCUGUGAAGCUUUUGGAUCGCAUCCACAAUCCUGCCUUUGUCGGAAUUAUGGGUAACACAAGAUCUUACAAACUGCUAGACUGGAAUAGUUUCAAUUCAGAUGAACCAGAAACUCGAGAUGCAUGGUGGGCAGAAAUCAGACAAGAAAUAAAAUCACAUGCUAAAGCAUUAGGCUGUCAUGCUGUAGUGGGCUACAGUGAAUCAACUAGCAUCUGUGAAGAGGUCUGCAUUUUAUCUGCAUCUGGUACAGCGGCUGUACUGAAUCCUAGAUUUCUGCAGGAUGGCACCGUGGAAGGCUGUUUGGAACAGAGGCUUGAAGAAAAUUUGUCUACACGUUGUGGGUUUUGCCAUAUACCAUAUGAUGAACUGAAUAUGCCAUUUCCAGCUCAUCUCACAUAUUGCUAUAACUGCAGGAAACAAAAAGUUCCUGAUGUUCUGUUUACAACUAUAGACCUCCCAACAGAUGCAACAGUUAUUGGAAAAGGUUGUCUUAUUCAAGCAAGGUUAUGUCGCUUAAAAAAGAAAGCACAGGCAGAAGCAAAUGCUACAGCUAUCAGUAAUCUGUUGCCAUUUAUGGAAUAUGAAGUGCAUACUCAGCUAAUGAAUAAACUAAAACUCAAAGGAAUGAAUGCUUUGUUUGGACUAAGAAUUCAGAUCACAGUGGGUGAAAAUAUGUUGAUGGGCUUAGCGUCUGCCACAGGUGUAUAUUUAGCAGCUUUACCAACUCCUGGUGGUAUUCAGAUUGCCGGGAAGACUCCCAAUGAUGGCUCAUAUGAACAACACAUCUCUCAUAUGCAGAAGAAGAUAAAUGACACAAUUGCUAAAAACAAAGAGUUAUAUGAAAUCAAUCCUCCAGAGAUAUCUGAAGAGAUUAUAGGAUCACCCAUCCCAGAACCUAGGCAACGCUCAAGACUUCUAAGAUCUCAAUCAGAAAGCUCAGAUGAAGUUACAGAAUUAGACCUUUCACAUGGGAAAAAAGAUGCUUUUGUUUUGGAGAUUGAUGACACCGAUGCCAUGGAAGAUGUCCAUUCUCUACUUACUGAUGUUCCUCCUCCUUCAGGCUUUUAUAGUUGUAAUACAGAAAUUAUGCCCGGUAUAAAUAAUUGGACAUCUGAAAUACAGAUGUUCACUUCAGUAAGAGUAAUCAGAUUAAGCAGCCUCAACCUGACUAAUCAAGCUCUCAAUAAGAACUUUAAUGAUCUCUGUGAAAAUUUGCUCAAGAGCCUGUACUUUAAACUACGAUCUAUGAUCCCCUGCUGCCUUUGCCAUGUAAAUUUUACAGUAUCUCUGCCUGAAGAUGAAUUAAUUCAGGUUACAGUCACGGCAGUUGCAAUAACUUUUGACAAAAAUCAGGCUUUACAAACCACAAAAACCUCUGUUGAAAAGUCAUUGCAAAGAGCUUCUACAGAUAAUGAAGAACUUUUACAGUUUCCACUGGAACUGUGUUCAGAUUCACUUCCUUCUCAUCCUUUUCCACCAGUUAAAGUUUAAAAAAAUGCACGGAAUUCCUAAUACCAGCUAUAUGUUCUGUAAUUCUACACCAACCAAAUCUAUACUGCACAAGACAUAUGAGAGCCUCAGGACCCUCUCGGGAUAUGUAAGUUAGGGGUAGGACAGCUGGUGUCCCAGUGUCUCCAUUGAGUCAGUUUCUGUGCUGAGUGUCCCUGCAGAUCAGGUAAGCCUCUGAGUGUCAGCUCUGUGCUGGUCUUUCUGUAGGUCUCAUCUCCUAGACUUCCAAAGUCCCUCAAGAUCCUGAAUCAGGAGGACUUUUCCUGUCUAGAUCUCCAGUCAGCGAGCAUGAUGGUCAGGGCAUGUCCACAGCGUGGUAUCCUCACAGGCCUUUCGUGAACCCCACCUGGUGAUCCCUUUUAUUUAUCAGCUCUGUAUAUGCUGCAGUAUUAGCUAGUGGUCAGUUACUUUAUAAAAACUGUGGGCCAGGUGUGGUGGCUCACACCUAUAAUCCCACCACUUUGGGAGGCCGAGGCAGGCGGAUUACCUGAGGUCAGGAGUUCGAGACUAGCCUGGCCAACAUGGUAAAACCCAUCUCUACUAAAAAUAUAAAAAAAUUAGCCGGGCGUGGUGGUGGGCGCCUGUAAUCCCAGCUACUUGGGAGGCUGAGGCCGGAGAAUCACUUGAAUCUGGGAGGUAGAGGUUGCAGUGAGCUGAGACCGUGCCACUACCCUCCCACCUGGGCAACAAGACUAAAACUCCGUCUCAAAAAAAAAAAAAAUUGUGUUGGUGAGUCGUGGUGAGAUACUUGCAUUGGAUUUUCAAUUAGCAGCAAUAUUCUAUGGUAGAAACAUUCUGUACAAAUAAUGUUUUGAAAAGUUUUUUAAAUUUCAGCAUGUUAUCAAAAAAAUCACAUUAAGUAGAAAUUUAAAAAUUGUAUCUAUCAAUUUAUCUAUACUUAAACUGGCCAACCGAAAUUAUUCUCAGUGCUUUUCAUGAGUUAUUUCCAAAUUGGCAACACUAUUCUUUUAGUUGUAAAAUUCUUUCAAACAAAACUUUAAAUAUUCUAAUGUGGGUAGAACAUGAGCAUUAAAAAUAGAUUAUGAAGUUUUUUUAUAGUGCUAUUUAAAUCUGUACAAUACCUUAAAUACCUGUAAUAAAAAAUAUCAGGGAAAAUUCUGGAUGCUACUGUUAUGAGGUUACUGGAAAGGGAGUGAUACUGCCUGGGAUUCCUAGUUAUCUCUGUGAUAACUCAUUUUUUAGUUUUGCAAAGUCUUGAUACCACCAGAGGGAGCUGUUGAUAUCGAAGUCCUUGAAUGAAGAAGUUGGUGGUGAGGAGAGUUAAGACUAGGGAGCAGCUUAUGCUGAUCUAUGAAGCAUAAUCAUUAUCUUGUCUGUAAUUUUUAAUCUUACAGGCUCUUCCCCACAGCAAACAUUUCCCCUCUAUGUUUCAUUUCAGCUAUUCUUCCCAACACAUUGGCCCUUUUCUCUGCCUGGUCUCACAUCCUGCUUUCAUCAUACUCACAUUUGUUACUAUGUUUAUAUUUUCUUGUGACUAUCAAGUUUCUGAAACUUUUUUUGUGUUAUAGUAAGCAAGUAGUCUCCUUUGGCAUGGUAUUUAUGAACUGAGCUAGUUUUCAUGUGUCAAUAGAAACUGCAUUUUAAACCUAAAUGCUUUUAUUUGGUUUGCUUUUGCAAUGAAGCCAUAAAGAUUUCCUCCUAUUCUUCUGGCUUAUAGAGGUAUUAACAAAUAACAAAGAAGAGGUACUGGCUUGUACUUAGCAUCCGAGCUAAUGUUGUUCAUAUUGUCUUAUUAGAACACCUGGAGAGUGCAAGUUCUAACUCAGGUAUACCAGCUGCACAGAGAGGUGAGUUUGUCUAAUUAAGCAAAUAGUCACCAAAGGUGUAAAAUUCUAGUUUGGUGGUGCAUGAAAUUAUAGACAUCAAAGAAAUGCACUGGACAAUAUGGCAUAGACACCAAAAUCUGGCUUUUUUUUUUUUUUUUUUGUAGGUAGAAUAUGUUCUUUUAAAAAACAUCAAUUAAACUAAUAUUUAAAUUUUUUAGUAUGUUAAUGGUUUCCCAGUUUCUAAGCAUAAAAUUUUAGCUCCUUAAAAUUUCUUCCCAGCUUAGCAGUAGUAAAAGUUAUUCUUUUAAAAAGGGGGAACUUGUGAGGCUCACACCUGCCCCAACCCCGUAUUAUCAGAGGCUUCAUUGCCCAAAAUCAGACAUGGAAACAAAACAUUAACAAAAAUGGCCCUUUGGUUUUCCUCUUACUAACUGUAGAAAGAAGAUAUUUUAAUAACAGAUAAGUCAACUAGUAACUUUUUUAAAUGUGUUCUUCAACAUUUGAUUCUCUUUUUUUUUAAAUUUUAGGGUAAAACUAGGGAAAUGAAUUAUUCACAAAGUUUUGAUUAUAAAAUAGGAACAACUGAAAUAUUAUAAAUUAAGAAGAGUAGGAAAUAAAGUUAGUUAAAGCACAGUAUGUGGUCCUUUCAGUGAUAUUUAUGUUAGACCCCAAUCAGGCUCUCCCUAAGAGACCACACAACUAUGACAUCACCAAAAAUGCUCAGCCUGCUAACUGAGAACUUGGUUUUGGACAAAUCAGUGUCUAAAGCUUGACUCUUUACUAUCUCUCUUAUCUGACUUGAAAAGGACCGUUCUUUUUCUGAGUUACAGUUAAAUUACAUCAUCGAAAGGAGUGUUAAGACGAGUAAGAGACAUCAUCCAUAUUUUUUUCUUUGUUUUUUCUUUUGUUUUCUGUCUGUGUUUUCAGCAACGUCAGUUGAUUACAGUUCCUUUGCAGACAGAUGCAGCAGCUGGAUAGAGCUCAUUAAACUGAAAGCUCAGACCAUAAGGCGUGGAUCAAUUAAGACAACCGUGACAGUUGAAAAAGCAAGUCCAGUGGGUGAUGGAAAUUUCCGGAAUCGUUCUGCUCCACCUUGUGCAAAUUCCACAGUUGGGGUUGUUAAGAUGACACCUCUUUCUUUUA